GACGAACGCUGGCGGCGUGCCUAACACAUGCAAGUCGAGCGAAUGAAGUUCCUUCGGGAAUGGAUUUAGCGGCGGACGGGUGAGUAACACGUGGGCAACCUGCCUCAUAGAGGGGAAUAGCCUUCCGAAAGGGAGAUUAAUACCGCAUAAGAUUGUAGUAUCGCAUGAUACAGCAAUUAAAGGAGCAAUCCGCUAUGAGAUGGGCCCGCGGCGCAUUAGCUAGUUGGUGAGGUAACGGCUCACCAAGGCGACGAUGCGUAGCCGACCUGAGAGGGUGAUCGGCCACAUUGGGACUGAGACACGGCCCAGACUCCUACGGGAGGCAGCAGUGGGGAAUAUUGCACAAUGGGGGAAACCCUGAUGCAGCAACGCCGCGUGAGUGAUGACGGCCUUCGGGUUGUAAAGCUCUGUCUUCAGGGACGAUAAUGACGGUACCUGGGGAGGAAGCCACGGCUAACUACGUG
rnacentral:rRNA from 1 species